rnacentral:rRNA from 1 species
AGAGUUUGAUCCUGGCUCAGAACGAACGCUGGCGGCGUGCCUAACACAUGCAAGUCGUGCGAGAAAGUUUCCUUCGGGAGGCGAGUAAAGCGGCGCACGGGUGAGUAACACGUAGGUAACCUACCUUUCAGUCCGGAAUAACCAGCUGAAAAGCUGGCUAAUGCCGGGUAAGACCACGAUCUCUGCGGGGAUCGCGGCCAAAGGCGGCCUCUUCAUGAAAGCUGAUGCUGAUAGAUGGGCCUGCGCACCAUUAGCUAGUUGGCGAGGUAACGGCUCACCAAGGCUUUGAUGGUUAGCUGGUCUGAGAGGAUGACCAGCCACACUGGGACUGAGACACGGCCCAGACUCCUACGGGAGGCAGCAGUGGGGAAUAUUGCGCAAUGGGGGAAACCCUGACGCAGCGACGCCGCGUGGGUGAUGAAGGCCUUCGGGUCGUAAAGCCCUGUCGUAGGGAAAGAACUGGUUGCAGGCUAAUAUCCUGCAGCCUGACGGUACCCUACAAGAAGACC